CAGAGAGCAGUGAUUGGUCAGACCAUAGGCAAUUUAGAAGACAGCGCGCUAGCGUAUCUGUUCUAUGUAUAUCUAUGGUCGGUACAUCUGGUAGCAUCUCUGGCUGCUGUUGACCUUGUUUUUGGAGUAAAACACGGUGGAAGCUGAAUUAGUAAGGAUGACUCCUGCUCCUGUCAUCUCUAAGCUCCUCACACAUCUUUACCUGCACAUGAGGAAAAUCACUCCUGUAGAAUGCAGAUGUUCAGAGGGAGAUGAUGCCACAUCUGGUCCAGCUGAUGGAAGGUCUUGAAGUUCUCUGACUGGCCUCGACUGAAGAUGGUCGUCUCACUGGAUUUAAGGUUCAGAUGCUCAGUAACAAACUCCACCAAUGUGCCAACAGGGAAGCUUUAGGUUUAUUAAAUGUUGCUAUGAAGGUUUCGCUGUUUUUCUUUGUGAAUGCAAUGUGCUCCAACUGAAACUUGAAUUAGAACUUAGAAGUAAAUCCUUCCAUCUGAAAGGAUUUAGUUGCAUUAAUAACCUCAUAACAUUCUAAUUUUUAUUACAGUUUUGGCUGAAAAUAGAAUCUCUGUAUUGAUUCAGGUAAAAACUGAACUUCACAGCAUGUUGAAGCAAAACAACCAGAUGAAAACUGUGAUGGUGUUGGAUUGUCAGACCGUAAUGUUGCAGCUCAAAGCAGCUUUUCUAUCUCAGUUCAUUCUGACAUUCAGCUAUGAAUCAACACAGCAGAUGGUGAUCCAUGCUGUGGAAGUCUCACAUCUCCUGAUUUAAUGGAGCUGCUUUGCACUUUUUACACUGUUUAUUCACCAACACUUUAUUUAAUAAAAGUCCCAUUUAGUUUUUAUGAGGAAUGUGAUGUUUUAAUUUCUCUGUGAAUAACUGCAGUCUAAUGCAACAGCUGGAGUUGUAACAUCUGUCCUGAUAUUGAUCAUGAAGUAUUGAUCAGAAUACUGAUGGUCAGCAGUCAUCCCUGAAGUUUUACAUUAAAAUCUUUACUUGUGUUGUGAACUUUGGUAAGAAGCAGAAACGUUAGCGUUGCCAUGGAUACAUGAGUGUUAAAUUCAGUCCAUGUUUCCAUUUUGGGAAAUGCAGUCCAGUUCCAGAAUGUGGAGGAAUUUAGUCUCACAAUCACAGACAACAAAUAUUAUCUGAAAGCCGGGUUAUUGUUGUUUAUCAGCACAAUACAAAAAGAUCAAUGUUAGAAAUAUUCCAGUUAAGACUCUAGAAUACCAUGAUUUAUGUAAAUUUACCUAAAUAAUAUGAAUGUUCAGGUUAAAAUUGUACAGUGAUAUUUAUUAUGUAAGUUUAGCUGAUUAAAGUUUAUGACUCUGCACUAAAAUAUUAUUUAAAUUGACAUCAUUAUUAUAAUAUUUAGGGUCAGACCCUACAGUAUUGAGAUUAAGAAAUCAAAUAUUCUAUAAAAUGUAAAUACACUGAACUCAUUUGGAUAUAUUUAAGUGAGACUCUACAAUAUUAUUUGACACAAAUCUAUCUAAAUCAAAAUUUUAAUAAUUUUCACACCAAACAUUUACUGGACUGAUUUAAACAUUAAAAUCACUCCUUUCUAAUCCUCUGCUGUACGUUCAAACCUGAGGCCUUAAACAGAAACACACAAGUAUCUGUUUGAAGGAACUUCUGCAGAGUCCUGGUUCCAGAACAUGAUGAUAGAAUUAUAGACAAACUUUAACAAAAGCUGCCUAAGAGUUUACAGGUUUUUAUGUUGGAUUUCUUCAGUAAUUUAAUGAGCGUUAUCAGCAAUAAUCAAGUGUUCAUUUGAUGAACUUCAUUUCCUAAAACAUCCAGAAUUGGAGCUCAUAUCUUUGACAGCUGUAAAGUUUCUGCUCCUUCAAAGUUCACAACACAAUGAAUUAAUUCCUAAAACACUCUCAAUGCUGGAGAACGUUUGUGAUGCUGAAGCAGUGAGCAGUUUUUCUGUUUCUUCUCUGGAGAUGCACAAUGAGGGACGUCUGCAGUGACUGAGAAAGAGUCUCACCACAUCCUGACAUGAGGAAAACGACUUUAUUGAAGACUACAAUGAGAAAAACUAUCAGACAGCAGAGGGCUGCAUUCAAGGUGAGCUCUGAACAUCUGAUCUGGAACAGGAAUUCAAUAACAGCAGCAUGAGCUUCAUUUCAGUCUGUAGCUGCUGAAUUCAUGGAUGAAUCAUCUGGCACUAGAGAAGAAGACCAUCAAACAUCCACGUCAGCUGAUAGAGGUCCAAGAGUCUCACCAAACAAACAACCUACAGAGUGAAGACCUCAAAUCUGAUUGGACGGCCUCCUAUUCAGCCACUUUAGGCUGUUAGAUUGUUCCAGAUAAGACAAGAUCCUGCAGAGCCGUUCUACCACGAGCCUGACAGGAAGAACUCCAACAGCUACUGAAUGUUCCUGUGGUUCCCUCAAGGCUACAGGAGGAGUCCUACGAGGACGAGCCGGUCCACCUGAUGGUGGCCAGUUGCUGUGGUUCAAAGCCAACACCGACUACGUGGACUUCUACUGGACCACACGGAGGCCUUCAAACUGGACCACCAAGUUCACUGACUCCCCGACUCGUGGGUCUGAGGACGCCGCCGAGCCUCGGCCCAGCCGGCCUCCUGUCUGUGGGUGUUUGAGUGCUGAGAGGUUUGUGGAUGCAUGUGAACAUGUCUGUGUUGAAACAGCAGCUUUGGACUCAGUAACGCUGGGAAAAACCAAGAGCUCCUUUAUUUGUGACUUCCACUAAAAAACUGAUGAAAAUAAGUUUGCCAGGGUUCUGACUGAUAACAGAUUAUUAAAUAAUGAAAAUAAUCGUUUAAAUAUUUCUUUAAACAAUCCUUUUAGGUCUACAUUUCCUUUACACUGACUUCUUGGUAUAUGUACAACUAUUUUGGAUGGACUAUACCAUUAAGUCCAAUGUUCAAGGGUUCUUCUGGGAAUAUACCAUUAAACCAACCUUUUAGGUAAAUGUUCCAGGAUGUUGGGUAGAAUAUACCAUCAGAUCAACCUUUUAGGUCUACAUUGGAAGAUUUUAGAGUAGAAUAUUACUCCAAACCAUCCUUUAGGUCUACAUUUAAGGUGGAAUACUCCUUUACACCAAGAUUUUUUGGUCUCGAUUGAAGGAUUUUAGGUGGAAUAUUCCUUUGAAUGAACUUUUUAAGUUUAUGUUCAAGGAUGUUGGGUGGAAUAUACCAUCAGACCAACCUCCAAGGUCUACAGUAGUGAAUUUUAGCUGGAAUAUACCAUUAAACUCACCUUUUAAGUCUACAUUGGAGGAUUUUAGGUGGAAUUUUCUUCCAAACCAUCUUUUAGUCUACAUUUAAGGAUGUUUAGGAUGGUAUAUUCUUCCGAACCAACUUCUCAGGUCUUCAUUUCAGGUGGAAUAUUCCUCCAUACUAACUUUUUUGGUCUACAUUGAAAGAUUUUUUCUAAACCACCCUUUCGGGUCUAUAUUUGGGGUUUUAGGUGGAAUAUUCCUUUUAACCAGCCCCUCAGGUCUCUUUGAGGAUUUUGGAUGGAAUACUCAGUUAAAUCAACAUUUUAGGUGCAUGUCCAAGGAUUUUUGGUGGAAUGUUCCUUUAAGGUGGAUGUUUGAGGACCUUGUAGGUGGAAUACUUCCUGAAACUAACCUUUUAGGUCAACAUUCAAAGAUUUAAGGUGGAAUAUUCCUUUAAACCAACCUAAAUUUCAUGUUUUGAUCAUUAUCAAGUGAGAAACCUCAAUCCAGACUCCUCAUAAUGACGUUUGAGAUUUAUGCUGCUGUUAUUUGUUUAGUCCAGACUAAAUGACAGAAAUCCACAACUGUAAUUUUAUUUCAGGACUCGGUUAUUAAAUGUCAAAACAAUCCAUGUGACUCUAAAAACUCAACAGCUGAACUCUCCACAAGGAUCCAAAAUAAGUUGGACUUCUACAUGAGAGCUUUAAUUAUUCUUCAUCUACUACCUGAAAAGUUUGGUCAAUAAAAAAGACAAAACUAAAAACAGACUUUGUGAUUUUUCUGCUCACAUGUUGUGUUGUUGUAAACUUGCUCUUUCAAAUAAAUAGCCGCCUAACCCCCUGGAAACCAGCGUCUGUCCUGUUUUUGUGUUGCUCCUCGGCGACCCUAGACAGCCGGGUCGUAAUGUUUUUUGAGCAACACACCAUACUAUGACGUUUUUACAAUGAUGGUUCUACUAUGGAACCAGUUUGACAUGUUCAGGUGUUCUUUGUGUG